rnacentral:rRNA from 1 species
GACAGCAGGACGGUGGCCAUGGAAGUCGGAAUCCGCCAAGGAGUGUGUAACAACUCACCUGCCGAAUGAAUUAGCCCUGAAAAUGGAUGGCGCUUAAGCGGGUGACCGACACCGUGCCGUCUGAAUGAUAUAUUUCAGAUGAGUAGGAGGACGUGGUGAUCGUGACGAAGUAUACGUGCAAACGUGUAUGAAACGAUCACUAGUGCAGAUCUUGGUGGUAGUAGCAAAUAUUCAAGCGAGAUCCUUGAAGGGCGAAGCGGGGAAGGGUUCCACGCUAACAUUGAUUGGGCGUGGGUGAGUCGUUCCUAAGCCGAGUGGCAAUUGCUAAGUAGCGGCGAAAGGGAAGCGGGUUUACAUUCCCGCACACGGAUGUGGAGGCGGUGACGCUUUAUUGGGGCGAACACGCUGGCGAUGGCGCUGGGCAGAGUUGUCUUUUCUGUUUGACCGUUUGCGCAUGCGGUGUGGAGUCCGCUUGUCGGGAGAAACACGCAUGCGCGGGCAGAGCGCCGGGGCUUAUCCGGCGUCCAGCUCGCCAUCGACGGCCCUUGAAACUUUGCCUGCUGAUUUUAGAAUCCACGCCGUGGCGUACCGAUCACCGCAUCAGGUCCCCAAGGUGAACAGCCUCUGCUCAAUAUGAAAAAUGCAGGUAAGGGAAGUCGGCAAAUUAGACCCGUAACUUUGGGAAAAGGGUUGGCUCUAGUGCUGCGUGGGAGUGGUUGUUAAGUUGUGGCGCUAUUGAAGGUACUGAUUUGCGUGAUAUUUCGGUAUUAUUC